AUUCAAUUAGAAUGGUUUUGUAACUGUGUGUAAAGAUGUUAUAAACGUGUUUUCUUAUUUAUGGUAUGCAAAAGAAUUCUGAACUAUAUUCAUUAAAUGUUUUAAGAUUGCUGUUAUUUUUGACUGAGUAGCUAAAGGAAUAGAUUUUACACUAGAUUCUAUAGCUUUAGAAGCUUUUGGCUCAGUAAAUUUAAGUUUGUGUGAUUUGAGUAAAACUGGUGCUAUUAACUUGUGUCACAUGCCUUUACUUGACAUGACUUGUACAGUACAUCUAUUAUUUGGCUAGUUCUUUUUGGACAGUGGUUGCUGUAAUUUGAUUGAUGAUUAUGGAGUUCAAUGUUUAAUGCUCAUUCUGAUAUAACUCUUGUCAUUGUUAGCUUAACUAUGUGUAGUUGAUGAUGAUAGUGCCUUGUGUUUUGAUUGAAAUGCUCCACAAUCUUCUAUAAGUUUACACACAUCGGCCUUUCUCUAACUUAUAACUAUUCUAGGUGCACACUGUUUGUUUCCUCACAUUAUUGAAAUUGUUGGCCAUUUUUGUGAACUAGAUGAUAUCCCCCCACCAUCCCUGUUUAUCUUUUCAAGGUCCAACCGUAACCCUUCUGAAUUGGCACAAGCAUUCUCCAAUGCAUAUUAGUUUUGCUGGUUUCAGUGCAAUUCAUUGGUGGAUAUAUGCCCUGGCAUGACGUGGAGGAGUCAUGCUUCCAUAAUUCUUGUAUUCAGAAUGCGAUAGAUGCAGGAGUUUUUAGUUUGUUUUAGGACUGUCUUGUGCAGAAGUUUAGACUUGUGUGGAGAUCUAUGGAGGAUUCUAAGCUAGUGAAGAGAAAUGCAAACUGUUGCUAGUUCAGUGGCAUGUUAUGGAAGAAUAUAAUUAAGUUAGGUUCGGAAAUCACUGCAUAAGUGAAGGAUUUAAAAAGUUUCUUUGCUCAGUAAUAGAGUUCUUACUAGAUUGUCAACGUUUGUGAUUUGGUUUUAUAGCAUAAUGAUUAAUGAGAGAGUGGCCUAUGCAUUUGCAGUCAGUGUGGUUGUGGGUGGAUAAACAGUGUCAGCCUGUUUUUGGCACUUGUUUGUGCUGAGGUAGGCUCUAUUCUAUGGGACAUUUCUGUGGUUGUAGUGCAUCUAACCUCUACACUGCACAGAUGCAUGGAUGUGCCUGCCUAUACAUGAACAUUAUAUAUUGUUGGCUAUUGAUUGGUUGUGAACUGUGAUACUUAGUAAACAAUGCUCCAUAUCUCUUUUUUGACUCAAAACUAAUAUAUUUCUUUUCCAGCAACCAUGACCAAAAUUAUUAAAGAGAUGUUGCCCCCAGAUGUUCGUGUUGCAAGAGAUGCUCAAGAUCUUCUGAUAGAGUGUUGUGUAGGUGCGCUUUUCUUUUGUAAGAUUUGUGCCUAUCUAGCUUGAACUGUUCUAUUUUUUAAACCUGUAUCUAUCAAUAUUUAUCGUCUUCACUUGGAUUUGUAGCUUCAAAAAUAUCCUUUUGAUUGUUAAUCUGUCUUAUUUUCCCUUAUCUGUUCCUAGCAUCUUUGUUCUCCUAUUGUGCAUGAUAUCGUCAGUAUGUGCUGUUGAUCGGCAAGGUUGUUAUUUCCACUAUUAUGUGCCAUUUUAUUAAGCUCCCAAGUCAAAGAGGGGGUCAUCAUAGAGGUAUACCGGAAGAAACAUAAUUUUAAAACAACUUAUUCGUGCUGUUGGGGAACACCAAAGGUUAUCAUUUAUAAUUUUCUUUAUGGUCAUUAAUUUUAAGAGAUUCUGGGUCUGAAAGCAUAGUUCCUUUAUAACAUCUACGGCGUCAGCUAUUCUCUAAUAUAUCAGCUUAAAUUAGUCAGUAGUUGGAUCUUCUUUGGUUCUGCUAUGUGUCUUUAUUUUGGAGACAUUUCUUUAAUACUUGUUUAAACAUGAAAGCGACUAAUUUCUUCUCAUGAAGAACAAAUAUUAACAGAUACCUAAUGAUCCAUUCUAAAAUGGUGUAUUUGUUUGGGCUUCUAUUUCUAUAUGGAAAAUGAUUGAAAACUCCAUGAGAUUUGGUCUUUUACACAUUUUAGUUCCCUCUUUUUCAAAAUUCAACUCAUUGACAUUUGAAUUUUAUAAAAAUAAUACUUCAGUCUUUUAUUGCCCAAAAAUAGGUCAAAAAAAGAUUUUCCGCUGUAAAAAAGACAUUGAUUUGUUCAAUUGAUGGCCUAACUUUUUGAAUUUAACAAAAUUAAAGAACCAAAUUGUGGUUGUUGGUUUUUUUAUUUUUUAUUAUUAGUAUAAAAAGGGUCAAAAAGCUUAUGAGUUCAGUCCAAACUUCAGGAUUUUAUUUUGGUUAGUUAACGCACCCAUUUUAUAGUUGAAUUAUUUCCAAAUAUUGCUUGCAACAGUACAUCACAUAGCUGCAUGUCUAUAAAAGCCUUUAAAGCAUAAGAUUUUUCCUUCAAAGGUCUCUAUAUCAGAGGCUCCUAAGCUGUAAAUGAGUAAAUUUGGAAUUAUAUAUUGUAAAGAUUGUCCCUAGUUUUCGAUUAGGGGAUUUCAAUAAGCACAUUCAAUCUCUUUGUAGCAUAGCUUCCAAAGAAAGUCAAACUUAGUAGUUUUAUUAGGGUGGCCAUUUUCUAUCACAAAAUUUAUGGUGGCAUCAGUUGAUGGAAACAAAAUUUAUGGCCUGGCCAUAUGAUCUUGAUAAAAGAACCUCUCUGGAAGAAGUUUUUAAGAUCAGCCUGCCAAAGAUGUUGAUGUUGGAAUGAAAAGGAACAUCAAUGUUUUUAUUUCUUUUUCAUAAAGAAAGCAUAUCCAACAGAAGAUAAUUAUUUAACUACUUAAUGUGUUACUGUUAAAAUGAUUUCCCUCAACUCAAAGUGCAGCAUUGGGUUGUCUAAAUUUAGAAUAGUGCCAGUCUUUAGAUCUAUUUGCUUAAAAAUGCUGUUUUGUUUGAUAUUGUUCUAAUUGGUUGCUGAUUGUGAUUAAUAUUUAUUGUAAAGCUACAGUGGUAUAUCUGCUUCCUCCAUUCUUUUUUUUGUUACUAGAUUUCCUAAUAUAUUUUAGUGCUGGGCAGUCUCUACUUUUUGUUGUAGAUGUAUGAUUUAUGUUUUACUUAUGACUGACAAAAUUUUCACAUUCCAGAAUUUAUAAACCUUGUAUCAUCAGAGUCCAAUGAAGUAUGCAGCAAAGAGGAGAAGCGGACAAUUGCGCCUGAGCAUGUACUCAAGGCUUUAGAGGUUCUUGGGUUUGGAGAGUACAUUGAGGAGGUUUAUGCUGCAUAUGAGCAACACAAGGUUGAGACUACGGUAAUUCAUAAUUUUCUUAUGCUCCUAUUCACAUUUGACCUUUGUUAAGAAAAGAUUUUGGAAACCAGAUCUUACAAAAUCCUUGUAAUUGGUAAGACAUUCAUAAUUUACUGGUUCUUCAGUUCAACCUUUGCUUUCAUCUCUGGUAAUGAUAGCAUAUUAUAAAGCUCUAGUUCUUUUAUGCUCUAAUUCUUCAUCAAACCCCUAACUGAACUGGACAUUAGAAAAAUUAAGUUUUGUGAGGGCAUUGUGAAGUAUAUUUCCUGAAUUUUUCUUUUGGGAUGCUUUCCAGCAGGACUCUUUAAAAGGUGGUAAAUGGAGCAAUGGGGCAGAGAUGACUGAGGAAGAAGCAGUAGCAGAGCAACAAAGGAUGUUUGCUGAGGCACGUGCAAGAAUGAAUGGAGGCGCCAUUGCUCCUAAGCAACCAGAGACUGACGGUAGUUUAGAGAGCUAACCUUAGGAGCUUUUAUUUUAUUUAAACCAUAGGCACGCAUCCUUGACUCUUUCACUUUGUGCGUCU
rnacentral:misc_RNA from 1 species